AGGCAUUUAGUGGCGGACGGGUGAGUAACGCGUGAGAAUCCACCUUCAGGUCGGGGACAACAGUGGGAAACUGCUGCUAAUACCGGAUGUGCCGAAAGGUAAAAGGCUUGCUGCCUGAAGAAGAGCUCGCGUCUGAUUAGCUAGUUGGAGAGGUAAAAGCUCACCAAGGCGACGAUCAGUAGCUGGUCUGAGAGGAUGACCAGCCACACUGGGACUGAGACACGGCCCAGACUCCUACGGGAGGCAGCAGUGGGGAAUUUUCCGCAAUGGGCGAAAGCCUGACGGAGCAAUACCGCGUGAGGGAGGAAGGCUCUUGGGUCGUAAACCUCUUUUCUCAGGGAAGAAGAAAGUGACGGUACCUGAGGAAUCAGCAUCGGCUAACUCCGUGCCAGCAGCCGCGGUAAUACGGAGGAUGCAAGCGUUAUCCGGAAUCAUUGGGCGUAAAGAGUCCGUAGGUGGCGCAUCAAGUCUGUCGUUAAAGAGCAGGGCUUAACCCUGUAGAGGCGGUGGAAACUGAUGAAGCUAGAGUACGGCAGGGGUAGAGGGAAUUCCCAGUGUAGCGGUGAAAUGCGUAGAGAUUGGGAAGAACACCGGUGGCGAAAGCGCUCUACUAGACCUGUACUGACACUGAGGGACGAAAGCUAGGGGAGCGAAUGGGAUUAGAUACCCCAGUAGUCCUAGCCGUAAACGAUGGAUACUAGGUGUUGUCUGUAUCGACCCGGACAGUGCCGGAGCUAACGCGUUAAGUAUCCCGCCUGGGGAGUACGCACGCAAGUGUGAAACUCAAAGGAAUUGACGGGGGCCCGCACAAGC
rnacentral:rRNA from 1 species